CUCUUUUUGAUUAUAAUUUAAAGUAGGGCCUGCCCACUGAUAAUUUAAAGGGCCGCAGUAUCUUAACUGUGCAAAGGUAGCAUAAUCAUUAGUUUUUUAAUUGAAAGCUGGAAUGAAUGGUUUGAUGAGAAAAUUUCUGUUUCAAUAUUAAUUUUUUAAAAUUUUAUUUUUAAGUUAAAAAGCUUAAAUAAAUAUAAAAGACGAGAAGACCCUAUAGAGUUUAAUUAAUUAUUAAUUUUUUUAAAUUAGAAUUUAUUUUAAAGGAUUUAUUUAUUAAUUUGAUUGGGGUGAUUAAAAAAUUAGAAAAACUUUUUUUAAAUUUUUACAUUUAUUUAUGAAUAUUUGAUCCAUUUAUAUGAUUAAAAGAAUAAAUUACCUUAGGGAUAACAGCGUAAUUUUUUUUAAGAGUUCUUAUUUAAAGAAAAGUUUGCGACCUCGAUGUUGGAUUAAAAUUAAUUUUUGGUGUAGAAGCUAAAAAAUUAGGUCUGUUCGACCUUUAAAAUUUUACA
rnacentral:rRNA from 1 species